AUUGAACGCUGGCGGAAUGCUUUACACAUGCAAGUCGAGCGGCAGCACGGGGGCAACCCUGGUGGCGAGCGGCGAACGGGUGAGUAAUACAUCGGAACAUGCCCAGUCGUGGGGGAUAACACUUCGAAAGAAGUGCUAAUACCGCAUACGUCCUGAGGGAGAAAGCGGGGGGAUCGCAAGACCUCGCGCGAUUGGAGUGGCCGAUGUCAGAUUAGCUAGUUGGUGGGGUAAAGGCCCUACCAAGGCAACGAUCUGUAGCUGGUCUGAGAGGAUGAUCAGCCACACUGGGACUGAGACACGGCCCAGACUCCUACGGGAGGCAGCAGUGGGGAAUUUUGGACAAUGGGGGCAACCCUGAUCCAGCCAUUCCGCGUGAGUGAAGAAGGCCUUCGGGUUGGUUAAAGGUAC
rnacentral:rRNA from 1 species